CAGUCGCCGCGGUAAAACGUAGGUGGCAAGCGUUGUCCGGAAUUAUUGGGCGUAAAGCGCGCGCAGACAGAUAGGUCAGUCUGUCUUAAAAGUUCGGGGCUUAACCCCGUGAUGGGAUGGAAACUGCCAAUCUAGAGUAUCGGAGAGGAAAGUGGAAUUCCUAGUGUAGCGGUGAAAUGCGUAGAUAUUAGGAAGAACACCAGUGGCGAAGGCGACUUUCUGGACGAAAACUGACGCUGAGGCGCGAAAGCCAGGGGAGCGAACGGGAUUAGAUACCCCCGUAGUCCCUGUCUCUUAUACA
rnacentral:rRNA from 1 species